CCUACGGGAGGCAGCAGUCGAGAAUCAUUCACAAUGGGGGAAACCCUGAUGGUGCGACGCCGCGUGGGGGAAUGAAGGUCUUCGGAUUGUAAACCCCUGUCAUGUGGGAGCAAAUUAAAAAGAUAGUACCACAAGAGGAAGAGACGGCUAACUCUGUGCCAGCAGCCGCGGUAAUACAGAGGUCUCAAGCGUUGUUCGGAAUCACUGGGCGUAAGGCGUGCGUAGGCUGUUUCGUAAGUCGUGUGUGAAAGGCGCGGGCUCAACCCGCGGACGGCACAUGAUACUGCGAGACUAGAGUAAUGUAGGGGGAACCGGAAUUCUCGGUGUAGCAGUGAAAUGCGUAGAUAUCGAGAGGAACACUCGUGGCGAAGGCGGGUUCCUGGACAUUAACUGACGCUGAGGCACGAAGGCCAGGGGAGCGAAAGGGAUUAGAUACCCCAGUAGUC
rnacentral:rRNA from 1 species